GUGGGGAAUAUUGCGCAAUGGAGGCAACUCUGACGCAGCCAUGCCGCGUGCAGGAAGAAGGCGCUACGCGUUGUAAACUGCUUUUAACCGGGAAGAAACCCCAGGACGUGUCCUGGGUUGACGGUACCGGAGGAAUAAGCACCGGCUAACUUCGUGCCAGCAGCCGCGGUAAUACGAAGGGUGCAAGCGUUAUCCGGAUUCAUUGGGUUUAAAGGGUGCGUAGGCGGAGCGUUAAGUCAGUGGUGAAAUCCUGCAGCUUAACUGUAGACUUGCCAUUGAUACUGGCGCUCUUGAGUGCACUUGAAGUGGGCGGAAUGUGCCGUGUAGCGGUGAAAUGCUUAGAUAUGGCACAGAACACCAAUUGCGAAGGCAGCUCACUAAGGCGAUACUGACGCUGAGGCACGAAAGCGUGGGGAUCGAACAGGAUUAGAAACCCCGGUAGUCC
rnacentral:rRNA from 1 species